UACAGAGAGGAGACCUUCUAUGACUGUGUCUUGCAAUGACCAACCAACCUCAGGGAGCCCCAGGCACCCCCGAGGCCCCAGCAGGCCUUCUUUCCCUGGGGUGUUGACCCCCCACUCUGCUCACUGUUUGGGGGUUCAGAUCCCCCAGGUUUGAACAAGAACCCACUCAGCACUGGGGGUCCUGGGCUUCACUGGGCCGCAGGUCCAGAAUGGGCCUCUCUGCUCUUCACUGUGGGGAGGGGACUUUCCUCCCAGACACUCGCGCCCCGGAGACCUCCAGGUGUACACUAGGCGGUGUUAGGGGUUCAUAAAAUAUCAGCGGCAAGGGGGCCCCAAGGAGGCUCCGCCCACCCUCUCUACAAAUAGGGAAACUGAGGCAAGACCGAAGCGGCGGCACUCCCCACCUCGGAUCUGAACUCCUCCUUUCCAGUUAGCAGUGCUUGGGUGGUUCCCAGCCCAAGGUCACGCCGCGAAGGAGACGCAGUUCCCGAAGGAAGCCAGGUACCCGGCUCGGCUCGGACUCAUCGCUCCGCACCUUCCGAGCUGAGCCACAAAACCCGGUUCCCUGUCCCCUCCUCGAACCGCCACGGCAGGCGCGGCGAGCGCCCCGGCGAGAGUGAGAGCGAAGGGGGCGCCUUCGUCCUCGUCACCGAGCGUGUGGCACCCCGUGGGCGCCGCAGGGACAUCCAUCCAGCGAGUCAAUGAACCACGAAUGCAUGACCCCUCUCGGCGCGCACAGCCGCCCCCGCCUCCUGGGACCACCUUCCACCUGCUCUUAGGAUGACGUCAUGUGAGUCCCUGCGCCCGCACCUGCACCCCCACCGGGAGCGACCGGCCCAGAGGCAGAAGCUGAGAAAGGACAAUAAAUUCUUUGUGAGACUUGCGUCCCCCGCCCCAGCACCCUGCCCCUUUCCUUAAUUUGUAAUGAAUUAUGUAAUUAUU